rnacentral:rRNA from 1 species
GGUUUUUACAUCGGUGUUUAAACAAUAAGCGGAGGAAAAGAAACCAACAGGGAUUGCCUUAGUAGCGGCGAGUGAAGCGGCAAAAGCUCAAAUUUGAAAUCUGGCUCUUUCAGAGUCCGAGUUGUAAUUUGAAGAAGGUAUCUUUGGGUCUGGCUCUUGUCUAUGUUUCUUGGAACAGAACGUCACAGAGGGUGAGAAUCCCGUGCGAUAUGAGAUGAUCCAGGCCUAUGUAAAGUUCCUUCGAAGAGUCGAGUUGUUUGGGAAUGCAGCUCUAAGUGGGUGGUAAAUUCCAUCUAAAGCUAAAUAUUGGCGAGAGACCGAUAGCGAACAAGUACAGUGAUGGAAAGAUGAAAAGAACUUUGAAAAGAGAGUGAAAAAGUACGUGAAAUUGUUGAAAGGGAAGGGCUUGAGAUCAGACUUUGGUAUUUUGUAUGUUACUUCUUCGGGGGUGGCCUCUACAGUUUAUCGGGCCAGCAUCAGUUUGGGCGGUAGGAGAAUUGCGUUGGAAUGUGGCACGGCUUCGGGUUGUGUGUUAUAGCCUUCGUCGAUACUGCCAGCCUAGACUGAGGACUGCGGUUUAUACCUAGGAUGUUGGCAUUAGAACUGAUUUUAGUCGUUGGGGAAAAAAAAAAAAAAAAAAAAAAAUUG